UACGUAGGGGGCAAGCGUUGUCCGGAAUCAUUGGGCGUAAAGAGCGUGUAGGCGGCUCGGUAAGUCCGCUCUGAAAGCCCGGGGCUCAACCCCGGGAGGCGGGCGGAUACUGUCGAGCUAGAGUCCGGAAGAGGCGAGUGGAAUUCCUGGUGUAGCGGUGAAAUGCGUAGAUAUCAGGAGGAACACCUGUGGCGAAAGCGGCUCACUGGACCAUAACUGACGCUGAUGCACGAAAGCUAGGGGAGCAAACAGG
rnacentral:rRNA from 1 species